rnacentral:rRNA from 1 species
GAGGCGCAGAUGUAAGCCUCUUGGAAAAGAGCGCCACCGAGGGUGAGAGUCCCGUCUUUCGUCUGCAGCCCACCGUGUACGGCAUGCAUUUGCAGAGUCACGUUCCUCGGGAUUGGAGCGCAAAGUGGGUGGUAAAUUUCAUCUCAAGUUAAAUAUGGGUUUGAGACCGAUAGUAAAUAAGUACCAUGAGGGAAAGGUGAAAAGGACUUUGAAAAGAGAGUUAAAAGUGCCUGAAAUUGCUGAAAGGGAAGCGAAUGGAACCAGUCCUCGCGGUGAGAUUGUUGUGCCCUGCUGCGAUUGCGCGCGUCUUCAGCGCAAGCGGAGGCGUGAGUCUUGAACAAGCUCGGGCGCAGUGGUUCUUGCCGUGUGGGUCACUGUUGGUCCGCGAUUGAGGACAACUGCGCGGGAAUGGUUAGCUCGCCUCUGGGUGUGCGAAGGCCCGUGGUAGAACUCGAACGCUGAUCAAUUCUAAUGUGUCCGGUAAUUGCAGUUGUGGCAGCGGGAUGCAUGUGGUGGCGAACGCUACCAAUCUGCGCCCUGCCCACAGCGCAAGUCCUGACCCAGAAACAUUGACGAAAUGGUUCUUUUCGACCCGUCUUGAAACACGGACCAAGGAGUCUAACAUAUGUGCGAGUUCUUGGGCUCUACGCCUAUUUGCGCAACGAAAGUGACUGUUGAGAUCUUUGCACCAGCAACCGACCAAUCAAUCGAGAGAG